rnacentral:rRNA from 1 species
UACGUAGGGUGCAAGCGUUGCCCGGAUUUAUUGGGCGUAAAGGGCGCGCAGGCGGCUACGCACGUCCGUUGUGAAAUCGCUCGGCUCAACUGGGCGGGGUCGGCGGAUACGGGGUAGCUGGAGCAAGCUAGGGGGCAAUGGAAUUCCCGGUGUAGUGGUGGAAUGCGUAGAUAUCGGGAGGAACACCAGUGGCGAAGGCGGUUGCCUGGAGCUUUGCUGACGCUGAGGCGCGAAAGCGUGGGGAGCGAUCCGG